rnacentral:rRNA from 1 species
UACGGGGGGAGCAAGCGUUGUUCGGAACUACUGGGCGUAAAGGGCGCGUAGGCGGUUUGCUAAGUCGGAUGUGAAAACUCUGGGCUCAACCCAGAGCCUGCAUCCGAAACUGGCAGGCUAGAGUUCUGGAGGGGGUAGCGGAAUUCCUGGUGUAGCGGUGAAAUGCGUAGAUAUCAGGAGGAACACCGGUGGCGAAGGCGGCUACCUGGACAGAAACUGACGCUGAGGCGCGAAAGCUAGGGGAGCAAACAGG